rnacentral:tRNA from 1 species
GUUAAGGUGGCAGAGCUCGGCUAUUGCAAAAGGCCUAAGCCCUUUGAACAGGGGUUCAAAUCCCUUCCUUAACU